rnacentral:rRNA from 1 species
AUUGAACGCUGGCGGCAGGCCUAACACAUGCAAGUCGAACGGUAACAGGAAGACGCUUGCUUCUUUGCUGACGAGUGGCGGACGGGUGAGUAAUGUCUGGGAAACUGCCUGAUGGAGGGGGAUAACUACUGGAAACGGUAGCUAAUACCGCAUAACGUCGCAAGACCAAAGAGGGGGACCUUCGGGCCUCUUGCCAUCGGCUGUGCCCAGAUGGGAUUAGCUAGUAGGUGGGGUAACGGCUCACCUAGGCGACGGUCCCUAGCUGGUCUGAGAGGUUGACCAGCCACACUGGAACUGAGACACGGUCCAGACUCCUACGGGAGGCAGCAGUGGGGAAUAUUGCACAAUGGGCGCAAGCCUGAUGCAGCCAUGCCGCGUGUAUGAAGAAGGCCUUCGGAUUGUAAAGUACUGUCAGCGGGGAGGAAGGGAGUAAAGUUAAUACCUUUGCUCAUUGACGUUACCCGCAGAAGAAGCACCGGCUAACUCCGUG